AAUAGAUACCCAGGUAGUCCUAGCCGUAAACGAUGAGCACUGGGUUGAAGGGUCCUCCAUAGCCUUUCAGCCGUAGCGAAAGUGUUAAGUGCUCCGCCUGGGGAGUAUGGUCGCAAGGCUGAAACUCGAAAGAAAUUGACGGGGGCUCACACAAGCGGUGGAGGAUGUGGCUUAAUUCGAGGCUACGCGAAGAACCUUAUCCUAGUCUUGACAUGCACGGAUUAACUCCCUGAAAGGGGAGCCACGCCUUCGGGUGGAACGUGCACAGGUGCUGCAUGGCUGUCGUCAGCUCGUGCUGUGAAGUGUCGGGUUAAGUCCCUUAACGAGCGAAACCCUUGUCGCUAGUUGCCAGCGAGUCAUGUCGGGGACUCUAGCGAGACCGCCGGUGUUAAACCGGAGGAAGGUGGGGAUGACGUCAAGUCCUCAUGGCCUUUAUGACUAGGGCUGCACACGUCCUACAAUGGCAUGCACAAAGGGACGCAAAGUCGCGAGACCAAGCAAAUCCCAAAAAACAUGCCCCAGUUCGGAUUGCG
rnacentral:rRNA from 1 species